GGAACAUGCCUUGUAUUCAGAAUCAUUUGGAUUCCUUUCGGUUGCUCAAAUAUGAUGUCACAUCUGCAUCUAAGUUUACGGAAGCUGGUUGCCCACUCCUAGUUCGAAGACACAACCUCACCCCGGGAAUUUUUUUGAUGUACAUUCGAGGAAAAUUACUCUUUGCCAACUUUAUUUUCAAUGGUUACAGCACAUCUGUUAAUGACCUUCAAAAGCAAAUUGUGAAGACCAGAAAGGAUUAUCACAUGGGCUAUUUCCUACCCAGUGACUUCAGAAUACG